GGAAAGCCUGCGCCAGCGCUGUAGCUCCAUCGUUCUCCAGUCUGUUCCUGCCAGCGAUGAACACCUUCAGCUGCAAGGGGGCACCAAGUGCACUCGACUCCUUAUGACACACCGUCAGAGCUGCCGCCAGGAUCUAGAGCAGCAGGACAUGAUGACAUCAGUAUCAUAAACCCCGCCCACCUUUCCUCCUCCGAUGCCCAUUCCACAGUUGUUCAGACGCAGUUCCUGCAGUGUGUGGCAGGCGGUGCUCUUGAGCAGCUUCUCAAUCCCUUUGACACCAUCAGGUCCGAAAGCGUUAUCACUCAGAUCCAGAACCUUCAGCCGAGCUCCAGCCAUGAUUAACGCAUCGCCCAGAGAAUUCUGUGGAGGCAACGUUUACAAGCAUUAAACAGACUGUUAUAGUCACGACUACUAACUACGAGCACACUGGGUUUGAUAAAGACUUUAUUAAAAGUCUUUGCUCUAAAAAUGUCGAAUUAAAUCAUGACGUGUCCAUCUUACCAACGCUGGAGGAAUCUCAGCUCGCAGGCGGCCCGUAAACAUGUCGCUCCAGUGGCAGCACUAACUCGAGAGAAAAUCAACAGUUAAAGGAGAAGGUUUUUAUUUGUUUCUAAAUUUUACAUCACUAUAUAAUAUCGUGUUUCACAUACAUUAUUAUUAGCAGAAUAUUAUCAUCUAAAUGUGGUUUCUUGAUCUUGGCAGCCAAUAAUUCAAUGCACAAAACACACUAUAGUGAUUUCCUAAGCAGAUAUGGUGAUGCGAAUACAUAAAAUAUCUAAUAAAUAAUGUCUUAAUUAUAGAAAAUGACAGAUACAUUUGUGGAAAAAUAUUGUAUUGUUUGUGUUGACACAAUGUCUGUGACAUCAACAACUGAAUACAUGUAAUUUGUCUUCUCAUGCCUUUUAAAAGUUAAUAAGCUGUUUCAUUUUUCUGUCAUUACGAUGCAUGACUUGGUGCAUUAAAUUACAUGAUUUAG